AUUUCUUAGGGGGAAGAAGAAUACAAGCAAAAACCUAACCCUCACUUUAAUUUCAAAUCCAUGUAACUUUUGAUCCGGAGCUCCGAUUGACGAACCGUUUGCGACCACGCGUUCACCGCGACGAGCUCUACGAAACCCAUGGAACAAUUUGGUUCAAGUUAGCUUUUGGAACUUGUGGGCUCAAGCUAUUGAGCAUAUGGGUAUGGUGUAGAUUAAGUGGGUAUAUAUGCAUUGGGAAUAUUUGGAGGCUUGUUGGUGAUCAAAGCUUAGUUUGUGGCUGUUUUACUAGAGCUUGUAGAGGCUGUAAUUUUGUGUUGAGAAGCUGCCUUGGGUGAAUUGAGUGAUCGGCCAAGAUGCAGGUCGAGAGGCUCCUCGCUAGGCGUCUGGAUUCUGGAAAGCGAAGUAGUUCUUGGGUGUAUUUUGGUUUCUAUUUGUAUAUAUGUAUAUAUAUGUGUAGCUUACUCUCCAAGUAACUUAUGUAUGCUGCUCCUCUUAGAGGUUGAGGGAGAGAUAGGAGUUUACUUUGGUAUUUUGGUAUAU